CAGUCGCCGCGGGAAAACGUAGGUGGCAAGCGUUGUCCGGAAUUAUUGGGCGUAAAGGGCUCGCAGGCGGUUUCUUAAGUCUGAUGUGAAAGCCCCCGGCUCAACCGGGGAGGGUCAUUGGAAACUGGGAAACUUGAGUGCAGAAGAGGAGAGUGGAAUUCCACGUGUAGCGGUGAAAUGCGUAGAGAUGUGGAGGAACACCAGUGGCGAACGCGACUCUCUGGUCUGUAACUGACGCUGAGGAGCGAAAGCGUGGGGAGCGAACAGGAUUAGAUACCCCGGUAGUCCCUGUCUCUUAUAC
rnacentral:rRNA from 1 species